GAUAAGUAACAGCUAAAAUAAUUGUUUGUUCUGUUUACAAUAACAAGGAAUACUGACAGACUACAAGGACAUUGCAGCAAGAGUUUUCAAUGGAACAGCAGCGGAUUAGCUAAAUCUUGUUAAAAUAAUUGGCCAGAUUGUUUCUAUAAUUGAAAAAUGUACUAAUAGAACUAUAGGGGCCUAUAGUUUUCUUUUGCAGCUAAAUACAAUGAAGAUCCUAUUUCUCUUUUUUCUGGUGUGCUUUGCUAGUCUCGCUGUCAUAUCCGAAAGUUGUUGCCAUACCAUGUAUGAUCCCUGCAGUUCUGGCUCUGAUUGCUGCCCAGCUUUUAGCUGUGUAGUAGUAGAUAAAAAGAAUGGGAAAAAGGAAUGCAGAUAGUUAAGAAUAAUAAUGGUGAAAAGAGACUUUUAGAAAAAUAAAUAUCUGCAAUAAUUU